GACAGGGAGGACGCCAAACUCGAUCCCUUCGGCUGGUUCUCGUUCACCACCAGAGCCCGGCCGGCGGGUGAGGCGAAAAGUUGCAGCAUGUCCAUGUCCUGAAUAUCGUAGGAAAUGCGAGGAAAAAAAAAAGUAGGACUUAAUUUUUUCCCUUCAUAUAUUUUUUUUUUUUCUCCUCUCCUCAGGCUAUAACCUUCGGAUAAAGAGUUUCAAGUGUUUCGAAGUUUUUUUUUUCCCCCCUCCCUCCCACUUUCGCCGUAGCUGUAUAAGGCUGCACGUUCUCGAAAUGGGCAGGCGGAGAGGUUUUUUUUCUAGAUGAGAAAAUUAUGCGGCAUUGCAUCAUGGGUACGGAGAGACACCGAUUCGUGACUGAAGUAUAAAGUGUGGAUGUUGCUGCCGGGGACAAAAAAAAAGCUGGAGACGUGAAAAGAAAGAGAAAAGGUGUGCGCGUAAGGCGGAGAGCCGAUGUAUCGGCGGUAUACGGACGAUACGUCAUCCGGUCGACCGGGACCCACUGCCAAUAUCGAUUAGGAAUAAAAUGGAUGGAAGGUUCGUUUCGUAGGCGUAAGUCCUGCAGGUGAUGUACACGUGUGCCGUGCCGCACGUCGUCCGACGUGAAAAACUGGUGAGCGGUGGUUACGGAGCGAAAACCUGAAAUCGACAAGGAAAGAGAAGAGAUUUUUUUCCACCCAGUCACAGCGAUCAGAUUUCAAACAAAUCCUCGUUCGCUGCCGGAGCUAUCGUUGACUCGCACUACUGAUUCGUCGUCGAAGCUUCGCUGACCCGAAGAAAAAAUGGAAAAAGUGUUGGAAAAAAACGAAUAAAUGUUGGUGGCUAUUUCCGGUAGCCAAUUUUUCCUAGCCUGACGCUGACCAUCGUCCGAAAGGUUUCACUGGAGGAAAAUUCGCAGACUCGAAGCAACUCCGCCGUGCAUCUAUGAGGCAAGAAUCGUCAGUGCAUCUGCAUAAUUGUUCAUUAUAUUCGCGAACGAAAUGAAGAUACAUGAAUUAUAUAUUAUGUAGCCAUAGAUGAUGUAUUUUCUAGAAUAAUUGUUUUGGUCAUUCGAUACGAAACAUCUUGAAGUAUUUAUUGUAACACAUAUCUUGUAGAGAAACAUUUUUCUGUGUUAAUAAAUCCCAGAUAU